UAGGGAAUCUUCGGCAAUGGACGGAAGUCUGACCGAGCAACGCCGCGUGAGUGAAGAAGGUUUUCGGAUCGUAAAGCUCUGUUGUAAGAGAAGAACGAGUGUGAGAGUGGAAAGUUCACACUGUGACGGUAUCUUACCAGAAAGGGACGGCUAACUACGUGCCAGCAGCCGCGGUAAUACGUAGGUCCCGAGCGUUGUCCGGAUUUAUUGGGCGUAAAGCGAGCGCAGGCGGUUAGAUAAGUCUGAAGUUAAAGGCUGUGGCUUAACCAUAGUACGCUUUGGAAACUGUUUAACUUGAGUGCAAGAGGGGAGAGUGGAAUUCCAUGUGUAGCGGUGAAAUGCGUAGAUAUAUGGAGGAACACCGGUGGCGAAAGCGGCUCUCUGGCUUGUAACUGACGCUGAGGCUCGAAAGCGUGGGGAGCAAACAGGAUUAGAUACCCUGGUAGUCCACGCCGUAAACGAUGAGUGCUAGGUGUUAGACCCUUUCCGGGGUUUAGUGCCGUAGCUAACGCAUUAAGCACUCCGCCUGGGGAGUACGANCGCAAGGUUG
rnacentral:rRNA from 1 species